AACGACUGCUAAUACCGAAUGUGUCGCAAGAUGAAAGAUUUAUUGCCUAGAGAUGAGCUCGCGUCUGAUUAGCUAGUUGGUGGGGUAAAAGCCUACCAAGGCGACGAUCAGUAGCUGGUCUGAGAGGAUGAUCAGCCACACUGGGACUGAGACACGGCCCAGACUCCUACGGGAGGCAGCAGUGGGGAAUUUUCCGCAAUGGGCGAAAGCCUGACGGAGCAACGUCGCGUGAGGGAGGAAGGCUCUUGGGUUGUAAACCUCUUUUCUCAAGGAAGAUAAUGACGGUACUUGAGGAAUCAGCAUCGGCUAACUCCGUGCCAGCAGCCGCGGUAAUACGGAGGAUGCAAGCGUUAUCCGGAAUAAUUGGGCGUAAAGCGUUCGUAGGUGGUUUUGUAAGUCUGCUGUUAAAGCGUGUAGCUCAACUACAUAUAGGCAGUGGAAACUACAAAACUUGAGUGCGUUCGGGGUAGAGGGAAUUCCUGGUGUAGCAGUGAAAUGCGUAGAGAUCAGGAAGAACACCGGUGGCGAAGGCGCUCUACUAGGCCGCAACUGACACUGAGGGACGAAAGCUAGGGGAGCG
rnacentral:rRNA from 1 species